AGCUCCAAUAGCGUAUAUUAAAGUUGGUGCGGUUAAACAGCUCGUAGUCGGAUUUCUGUUGAGCUCGUCCGGUCCGCCCUCUGGGUGAGUACAUGGAACGGGCUUGACUUUUUCUUGGGGAACGUAUCUGCACUUGAUUGUGUGGUGCGGUAUCCAGGGCUUUUACUUUGAGGAAAUUAGGAAUGUUUAAAGCAGGCAUUCGCCUUGAAUACAUUAGCAUGGGAUAAUAAUAUAGGACCUCGGUUCUAUUUUGUUGGUUUCUAGAGCGGAGGUAAUGAUUAAUAGGGAUAGUUGGGGGCAUUCGUAUUUAACUGUCAGAUGUGAAAUUCUUGAUUUGUUAAAGCCGGACUACUGCGAAAGCAUUUGCCAAAUAUGUUUUCAUUGAUCAAGAACGAAAGUA
rnacentral:rRNA from 1 species